AAACCAACCGGGAUUGCCUUAGUAACGGCGAGUGAAGCGGCAAAAGCUCAAAUUUGAAAUCUGGUACCUUCGGUGCCCGAGUUGUAAUUUGGAGAGGGCAACUUUGGGGCCGUUCCUUGUCUAUGUUCCUUGGAACAGGACGUCAUAGAGGGUGAGAAUCCCGUGUGGCGAGGAGUGCGGUUCUUUGUAAAGUGCCUUCGAAGAGUCGAGUUGUUUGGGAAUGCAGCUCUAAGUGGGUGGUAAAUUCCAUCUAAAGCUAAAUAUUGGCGAGAGAUCGAUAGCGAACAAGUACAGUGAUGGAAAGAUGAAAAGAACUUUGAAAAGAGAGUGAAAAAGUACGUGAAAUUGUUGAAAGGGAAGGGCAUUUGAUCAGACAUGGUGUUUUGUGCCCUCUGCUCCUUGUGGGUAGGGGAAUCUCGCAUUUCACUGGGCCAGCAUCAGUUUUGGUGGCAGGAUAAAUCCAUAGGAAUGUAGCUUGCCUCGGUAAGUAUUAUAGCCUGUGGGAAUACUGCCAGCUGGGACUGAGGACUGCGACGUAAGUCAAGGAUGCUGGCAUAAUGGUUAUAUGCCGC
rnacentral:rRNA from 1 species